rnacentral:rRNA from 1 species
UACGUAGGGUGCAAGCGUUAAUCGGAAUUACUGGGCGUAAAGCGUGCGCAGGCGGUUUUGUAAGUCCGUCGUGAAAGCCCCGGGCUCAACCUGGGAAUUGCGAUGGAGACUGCAAGGCUUGAAUCUGGCAGAGGGGGGUAGAAUUCCACGUGUAGCAGUGAAAUGCGUAGAGAUGUGGAGGAACACCGAUGGCGAAGGCAGCCCCCUGGGUCAAGAUUGACGCUCAUGCACGAAAGCGUGGGGAGCAAACAGG